CGCGCGACAGCCGGCGUCCGCGCCCACCGCUUCCUGCGCGGCGAGAACCACCUGACGUUCGCGUGGGUCGGUUCCGCGCCGGCGCGCGCGGC
rnacentral:tRNA from 1 species